CCUACGGGUGGCUGCAGUGGGGAAUAUUGCACAAUGGGCGCAAGCCUGAUGCAGCCAUGCCGCGUGUGUGAAGAAGGCCUUCGGGUUGUAAAGCACUUUCAGCGGGGAGGAAGGCGUUAAGGUUAAUAACCUUGGCGAUUGACGUUACCCGCAGAAGAAGCACCGGCUAACUCCGUGCCAGCAGCCGCAGUAAUACGGAGGGUGCAAGCGUUAAUCGGAAUUACUGGGCGUAAAGCGCACGCAGGCGGUCUGUCAAGUCGGAUGUGAAAUCCCCGGGCUCAACCUGGGAACUGCAUUCGAAACUGGCAGGCUAGAGUCUUGUAGGGGGGGGUAGAAUUCCAGGUGUAGCGGUGAAAUGCGUAGAGAUCUGGAGGAAUACCGGUGGCGAAGGCGGCCCCCUGGACAAAGACUGACGCUCAGGUGCGAAAGCGUGGGGAGCAAACAGGAUUAGAUACCCCGGUAGUC
rnacentral:rRNA from 1 species